rnacentral:rRNA from 1 species
UACAGAGGUGGCAAGCGUUGUUCGGAAUUACUGGGCGUAAAGGGCGCGUAGGCGGCCUUCUAAGUCAGACGUGAAAUCCCCCGGCUUAACCUGGGAACUGCGUCUGAUACUGGAGGGCUUGAGUGCGGGAGAGGGAUGCGGAAUUCCAGGUGUAGCGGUGAAAUGCGUAGAUAUCUGGAGGAACACCGGUGGCGAAGGCGGCAUCCUGGACCAAUAUUGACGCUGAGGAGCGAAAGCCAGGGGAGCAAACGGG